rnacentral:rRNA from 1 species
AUUGAACGCUGGCGGCAUGCCUUACACAUGCAAGUCGAACGGUAACAGGUCUUCGGAUGCUGACGAGUGGCGAACGGGUGAGUAAUACAUCGGAACGUGCCCGAUCGUGGGGGAUAACGAAGCGAAAGCUUUGCUAAUACCGCAUACGAUCUACGGAUGAAAGCAGGGGACCGCAAGGCCUUGCGCGAACGGAGCGGCCGAUGGCAGAUUAGGUAGUUGGUGGGAUAAAAGCUUACCAAGCCGACGAUCUGUAGCUGGUCUGAGAGGACGACCAGCCACACUGGGACUGAGACACGGCCCCGACUCCUACGGGAGGCAGCAGUGGGGAAUUUUGGACAAUGGGCGAAAGCCUGAUCCAGUCAUGCCGCGUGCAGGAUGAAGGCCUUCGGGUUGUAAACUGCUUUUGUACGGAACGAAAAGACUCUGGUUAAUACCUGGGGUCCAUGACGGUACCGUAAGAAUAAGCACCGGCUAACUACGU